rnacentral:rRNA from 1 species
UACGUAGGGUGCGAGCGUUAAUCGGAAUUACUGGGCGUAAAGCGUGCGCAGGCGGUUCGUUGUGUCGGCGGUGAAAGCCCCGGGCUUAACCUGGGAAUGGCCGUUGAAACUGGCGAACUGGAGUGUGGCAGAGGGGGGUGGAAUUCCGCGUGGUAGCAGUGAAAUGCGUAGAGAUGCGGAGGAACACCGAUGGCGAAGGCAGCCCCCUGGGCUAACACUGACGCCUCAGGCACGAAAGCGUGGGGAGCAAACAGG